UUUAUGGAGAGUUUGAUCCUGGCUCAGGAUGAACGCUGGCGGUGUGCCUAAUACAUGCAAGUCGAGCGAACGGACGAGAAGCUUGCUUCUCUGAUGUUAGCGGCGGACGGGUGAGUAACACGUGGAUAACCUACCUAUAAGACUGGGAUAACUUCGGGAAACCGGAGCUAAUACCGGAUAAUAUUUUGAACCGCAUG
rnacentral:rRNA from 1 species